rnacentral:rRNA from 1 species
UACGUAGGGGGCUAGCGUUGUCCGGAAUCAUUGGGCGUAAAGCGCGUGUAGGCGGUUCGGUAAGUCCGCUGUGAAAGUCGGGGGCUCAACCCUCGAAUGCCGGUGGAUACUGUCGAACUAGAGUGCGGAAGAGGCGAGUGGAAUUCCUGGUGUAGCGGUGAAAUGCGCAGAUAUCAGGAGGAACACCAAUUGCGAAGGCAGCUCGCUGGGACGUAACUGACGCUGGAGACGCGAAAGCGUGGGGAGCAAACAGG